UCCUUGGUGGUCCAGUGGCUAGGACUUGGCACUUUCACUGUCAAGGGCACAGGUUCAAUCCCUGAUCAGGGAA